CCUACGGUGAGCAGCAGUCGAGAAUCAUUCACAAUGGGGGAAACCCUGAUGGUGCGACGCCGCGUGGGGGAAUGAAGGUCUUCGGAUUGUAAACCCCUGUCAUGUGGGAGCAAAUUAAAAAGAUAGUACCACAAGAGGAAGAGACGGCUAACUUUGUGCCAGCAGCCGCGGUAAUACAGAGGUCUCAAGCGUUGUUCGGAAUCACUGGGCGUAAAGCGUGCGUAGGCUGUUUCGUAAGUCGUGUGUGAAAGGCGCGGGCUCAACCCGCGGACGGCACAUGAUACUGCGAGACUAGAGUAAUGGAGGGGGAACCGGAAUUCUCGGUGUAGCAGUGAAAUGCGUAGAUAUCGAGAGGAACACUCGUGGCGAAGGCGGGUUCCUGGACAUUAACUGACGCUGAGGCACGAAGGCCAGGGGAGCGAAAGGGAUUAGAUACCCGGGUAGUC
rnacentral:rRNA from 1 species